ACGAAGGACUAAACAUAUAGCAGGAGUGACCUAGAAAAGGCUAGAGUUAAACUGUUGGGACCCGAAAGAUGUUGAACUAUGCUUGUGGUGUUUAAAGCCAAAGGAAACUUUGGUGGAAGGACUUGGGAGUGUUAACGUGCAAAUUACUUGCAAUAUAUGAGUAUAGGGGCGAAAGACUAAUCGAACUAUCUAGUAGCUGGUUCCACCUGAAUAUUCCCUUAGGAAGGUUGAAGUGAGAAAGUAGUGACGAUUGGUAAAGAUAAUGAUUGCACACGAUGGACAGUUUGAUUUUUCAACAAUUUAACAAACUAUGAAUAGUCGAGAGAUUCAAAAAUAUACUAAUUUAUUAGGAGUGAGCAUAUGGGACUUCAAAUCGGCCAAGUCUGGUAAGCAAAACUGGCGAUGCGGGUUAAACCGAACAUACAGAUAAAGUAUCCAAGGCUUACAUGAGGAGAACUAUAAAAGGGUUCAUUCACAUUGAAUCCAGGUUGAUGGCCAUGGAAGUUGGAAAUCGCUAAGGAGUGUGUAACAACUCACUUAUCGAAUGGAUAAGCCCUGAAAAUGGAAGGUAUUAUAAUGAGAGAGAGAGAGUGAUGCUGUAUCCUUGUGGAGGCUGAGGCACACGAGGAGUAAGGAAAUGCAUGGUGUCAAGAAUAAGUGAGUGAUAAAGGUAGAGAAGUAAUUUCCAUUGAAACAGACUUGAGUACAGAUCUUGGUGGAAGUAGCAAAUACUUAGAAGAGGAAAAAAUAUCUAAGGACUGAAGAGGAGAAAGGUUCCUAGACAACAUUAAUUGGAAUAGGGUGAAUCAAUUCUCAAAGACAAACGGGGAAAUGCAAGAAUGAACUCAUACACAAAACUUACAAAACAACCAUACCCAAUGAAUAUAUAAACUUGUA
rnacentral:ncRNA from 1 species